GUGCCAGUGUGUAGUGGCUUGAGUGUUGGACCAUGACUCUAGAAAACAGGGUUCAAAUCCCCGCUGCCACA